rnacentral:rRNA from 1 species
GAUCCUGGCUCAGGAUGAACGCUAGCUACAGGCUUAACACAUGCAAGUCGAGGGGAAACGACAUCGAAAGCUUGCUUUUGAUGGGCGUCGACCGGCGCACGGGUGAGUAACGCGUAUCCAACCUGCCCAUCACUUGGGAAUAACCUUGCGAAGGUAAGACUAAUGCCCAAUGAUAUCCCACGAAGGCAUCCGAACGGGAUUAAAGAUUUAUCGGUGAUGGAUGGGGAUGCGUCUGAUUAG